UUCCUUGCAGAUGAAAAAUAACAAGAAACUGAUCAAAUUAGAAGACGCUGAGGCAAAGAAAAAAAUGGAGGAAAACCUGGAGAAGUGGAGUGAUGGAGGUGUGCUUCUUCGCGUCGCAGAAUAAGGUCCUGAAUACGACGCCAGGGGAGAAGCUGAACUUUCCCUCGCUGAACGUGGUGACCAAACCCUCAACCAACAGCAAGUCAGCUCCCACACAGGCAAACGUUCCUACAGCACGGCACGGAAUAAUGUCACUGAUGCCACCGUGCCGUGCUAUGCGUACUCGUACCUGCAGCCAAACGGGGAAGUCUGAUCCGAGUGUGACAAAGAGAGUAGGAAGAGUGAGAGGUAAAAGGGAAAUGGGAAUGUAUAUAAGAGAGAGAGAGAGAGAGAGAGAGAGAGAGAGAGAGAGAGAGAGAGAGAGAGAGAGAGAGAGAGAGAGAGAGAGAGAGAGAGAGAGAGAGAGAGAGAGAGGAAGUAACAGAUUGAAAAAUGAAAAUAAAGGGAUACGAGAUUAUACAGGAAGGAAAGAAGGAACUACAGGUGAUAGGUGGAAUAAAUUAAGGUAUUGAAGAAAAUGUUAAUAAUGUGAAUAAUAAAAAUAAUAUAGGUAAGUAUAUCAAGAAAUAGGAAUAACGUAUAAAAGGUAUAAAUGUAUGUUUUUUUUUUCUGUUGAACGUAUAAAAAUCUAUAUACUGCAUCACUUUUAUUGGAAUACAUAUUAAUUUAUCUGCGUAUUUAAGUGUGUGUGUGUGUAUAUGUGUGUGUGUGUGUGUGUGUGUGUGUGUGUGUGUGUGUGUGUGUGUGCAGAAGGAUGUUUACGCAUUUUUUUCAUAUUUCAUGGCACACAAACACGUAAGUUUUUACAUAUUUAUUUUCCAUAUCUAUCGUGCAGCCUUUGUGUUUGAUUUAUAUUGACGUACACUAUUUUUUUAGUACCCGUUUUUCAGAGGUCGCAAUAUCUGAAGGUUUCGCGCCAUUAUAACAGUCGGAAAAAUAAUAAAAAAUAAAGCCCAC